UACGUAGGGUGCAAGCGUUAAUCGGAAUUACUGGGCGUAAAGCGUGCGCAGGCGGCUUUGCAAGACAGAUGUGAAAUCCCCGGGCUUAACCUGGGAAUGGCAUUGGAAACUGGCGGACUCGAGUGUGGCAGAGGGGGGUGGAAUUCCGCGUGUAGCAGUGAAAUGCGUAGAGAUGCGGAGGAACACCGAUGGCGAAGGCAGCCCCCUGGGCUAACACUGACGCUCAGGCACGAAAGCGUGGGGAGCAAACAGG
rnacentral:rRNA from 1 species